GCCUACGGGGCGCAGCAGUGAGGAAUAUUGGUCAAUGGGCGGGAGCCUGAACCAGCCAAGUCGCGUGAAGGAAGAAGGUACUUAGUAUUGUAAACUUCUUUUGUCGGGGAACAAAGGCGGAGACGCGUCUCCGGAUGAGUGUACCCGAAGAAAAAGCAUCGGCUAACUCCGUGCCAGCAGCCGCGGUAAUACGGAGGAUGCGAGCGUUAUCCGGAUUUAUUGGGUUUAAAGGGUGCGCAGGCGGCGAGUUAAGUCAGCGGUAAAAUUUCGGGGCUCAACCCCGACGAGCCGUUGAAACUGGCUUG
rnacentral:rRNA from 1 species